UCGAAAACAGUCAGCCGUUGAGUUCGCAAGAGGCUGGAACUUGUGCUAUCUGCUAUGAAAUCUGCAAUGUUUUGAUGUUAGGGAGUUGACGUCUAGCGCUGCGUGUUGCUUAGCUUGUAUCUUUGAAAGAGUUUAAAGCUAUUUUGGUUCAGUAAUGUUCGACAUGUUCGGUAUAUUUGGAAAGAAAAAAUCGCAGGAUCAGGCAGCUGUCGUGCCAGCUGACGAAGCACUAGAAGAUGAGUUUGUUAUGGUCGAAAGAAGAGGCAGCGCAAGCAAAGGGCAAGAGACCGUCGCGUACCCAAUCACUACUGUUUACCCAAGUCUAAGGAAGGAGGACCAUCAGGGCACAGCAGCACAAGGAAGUCAGUCGGGAGCGUUCAGUUUGAGCAGUGGAAUAGACGGAGUUCCGUUUGUCUUGAACUCGUCGUUAUCUUGCACAGCACAGCGAACCGAUUUAAGCCUCCUCCUCCAAAGAAUUGAAACCGUCCAGCGAACGCUUUCACUGAAUUACGACUUUGCUUUGGAAAGGAGCAUUGCAAUGGAAACCAGAGCGCACUAACACUGUCUUAAUGUACGCACAUCUUCCAGUGAAUGCAUGGAGUGUGUGACAGCAGUGUACAUAUAAUUCUAUGAGGUUAAAAUAAUGCCCAAAUAUUUAUAUUUUAUCAUUGUAACUGCGGUGCUGCUAUGAAGUGCCAGAAUUGACAUAAUGUAGUAUCACGAACGGCAAAGACGGCAUGUUAGGUUGCGUCUGCAUGUUUACAAUGUUUGUGUUGCACUAUUUUGUGGAUAGGACAAAGAUUACACAAUAUAGUUCUAUAUGAUGCAUACUUUCAGACAGAAUUGUUUAACCUGAUGUUCUGGAAACACACAUGCACACAUAAAUGAGUCAGUAGUGUCUUUAAAAACGAAAACGAAACUGCAGGCUACAGGGUGUACCAGGAGAUCCUCUUGUAAAUAACAUGGAGGACAGAGUUAUUGAAGUGUCCGUGCCUUUAUACCAACGCACAAAAAUGACUUUAUUGUCGUUUAAAGUGUCGUGUGUGAGUGUCGAGAGCUUCGAUGCAACAAGUGUUGGGAAGCAAGCUGGCUUUCAUUUGGCUUCGAUUAUUAUUAUUUUUUGCUGAGAGUGUAUGGUAUAAAUGGGAUGAUUUAUGUUGUUUUGGGUAAUUGGAGUAAAUUUACACAAAACGUGUGUCAGCCUGGUGUGGAUACAUGCUGUGCUUGCCAUCGUUAUGGAUUAGUAUUGAGAUGGUAUUUUAGACAAGCCACCAGAAGUACAUUUGUCUAGCCUUUGAACCCUAAAAAUCAGUGGAAAAUCUGAAUACGUUGCCAUGCACAUGAUAUGCUUUCAGCAGUAUUUGCGUUUGUAAACUGGUCUGCAGACGAAGAUAAUUUUUACACAUUUUUCGCUGCUCACCUGUGUGCUUGCUACCAUUCAAGUUAUGGCAAAGAGGGUGUCAAUGGCAAAUUGGAAGAAUAAAUUAUAAGAAAUGUA